GGGGAAUUUUGGACAAUGGGCGCAAGCCUGAUCCAGCAAUGCCGCGUGCAGGAUGAAGGCCUUCGGGUUGUAAACUGCUUUUGUACGGAACGAAAAGGCUCUGGUUAAUACCUGGGGCUCAUGACGGUACCGUAAGAAUAAGCACCGGCUAACUACGUGCAGCAGCCGCGGUAAUACGUAGGGUGCAAGCGUUAAUCGGAAUUACUGGGCGUAAAGCGUGCGCAGGCGGUUAUGUAAGACAGAUGUGAAAUCCCCGGGCUCAACCUGGGACCUGCAUUUGUGACUGUAUAGCUAGAGUACGGUAGAGGGGGAUGGAAUUCCGCGUGUAGCAGUGAAAUGCGUAGAUAUGCGGAGGAACACCGAUGGCGAAGGCAAUCCCCUGGACCUGUACUGACGCUCAUGCACGAAAGCGUGGGGAGCAAACA
rnacentral:rRNA from 1 species